rnacentral:rRNA from 1 species
AUACGGAGGGGGUUAGCGUUGUUCGGAAUUACUGGGCGUAAAGCGCACGUAGGCGGAUUGGAAAGUUGGGGGUGAAAUCCCAGGGCUCAACCCUGGAACUGCCUCCAAAACUAACAGUCUAGAGUUCGAGAGAGGUGAGUGGAAUUCCAAGUGUAGAGGUGAAAUUCGUAGAUAGUUGGAGGAACACCAGUGGCGAAGGCGGCUCACUGGCUCGAUACUGACGCUGAGGUGCGAAAGCGUGGGGAGCAAACAGGAUUAGAAACCCUAGUAGUCC